rnacentral:rRNA from 1 species
GUGGGGAAUCUUGCGCAAUGGGCGAAAGCCUGACGCAGCCAUGCCGCGUGAAUGAUGAAGGUCUUAGGAUUGUAAAAUUCUUUCACCGGGGACGAUAAUGACGGUACCCGGAGAAGAAGCCCCGGCUAACUUCGUGCCAGCAGCCGCGGUAAUACGAAGGGGGCUAGCGUUGCUCGGAAUUACUGGGCGUAAAGGGAGCGUAGGCGGAUAGUUCAGUCAGAGGUGAAAGCCCAGGGCUCAACCUUGGAACUGCCUUUGAUACUGGCUAUCUUGAGUUUGGGAGAGGUGUGUGGAACUCCGAGUGUAGAGGUGAAAUUCGUAGAUAUUCGGAAGAACACCAGUGGCGAAGGCGACACACUGGCCCAAUACUGACGCUGAGGCUCGAAAGCGUGGGGAGCAAACAGGAUUAGAUACCCUAGUAGUCC